rnacentral:rRNA from 1 species
GAUUGAACGCUGGCGGCAUGCUUUACACACGCAAGUCGAGCGGCAGCGCGGGGGCAACCCUGGCGGCGAGCGGCGAACGGGUGAGUAAUACAUCGGAACGUACCCAGGAGUGGGGGAUAGCCCGGCGAAAGCCGGAUUAAUACCGCAUACGAUCUUAGGAUGAAAGUGGGGGACCGCAAGGCCUCACGCUUUUGGAGCGGCCGAUGUCCGAUUAGCUAGUUGGUGGGGUAAAGGCCUACCAAGGCGACGAUCGGUAGCUGGUCUGAGAGGAUGAUCAGCCACACUGGGACUGAGACACGGCCCAGACUCCUACGGGAGGC